CUGUAGAGGCUGAGGAGGAAGCACGGAGAAGACUCCUCAUCAUCACUUUCAACUCCUGACGUCUUCGCUGAUGUUCGCUGAUAUUUCACUUUCUUAUUAUUACGUUUUUUAAUAAAAACUCGAUGUGUUUGAUUGGCACUCAGAGGGUUAAAGGUUAAAGCUGCAGGUAUAACACACCAGGAGAAAGGAGGAGGAGCUGACGCUGAGGAGGAGGAGAAGAGGAGAAGAAGAGGAGGAGAAAAGGAGAAGAAGAGGAGAGGAACUGACUCAGUCUCACUGAGUCUCCAGAUCAACACCAUGAGGAACUUUCUCCUGCUCCUCCUCUCGCUGAUUACAGGUCUUUGCUCUGAAGUGAAGGUCUGCUCUGAUGGAUGGCUCACGUUCACCUGCAAAUAUCCUAAAAUACAAGGAAUAAUUGAAAGUUUUCACCUCGUUAAUCCACGAAAAACACUCAAACUAAACUCCGAGGUGUUUUCGUGGGAACGCCGAGGCCGAUAUUCGCUGUUCCACGACCCGCAGAAGAAAGACCUGCAGGUGAGCAUCAGACCGCUUCACCUCGAGGACUUUGGGACCCACCGCUGUCAAUUCUACCAAAAAACAAGAAAAGUGAAGGAGGUGAAAUUGGAAUUUGUUUCAGAUAAAAGCUGCUGCCAGUCACCUGUCAAUCAAACUGCGUACAGAAGCGCUCCGACCAGCAUCUCAUGCCCCGGACUCACGUUCUUCUGCAAAGACCACGAAGGUUCUCCGGUCUGCGAGGACGUGGUCUCCACAGAGUCUCAGAGGUCCAACGGGUCGUUCGCUCUCACAGAAACCGCCGUGUCCAUCGGUAACGUGUCCUCACGCCACGCCGGCGUCUACUGGUGUGGACGGCGAGGAGCGGCCGGAAAGGACGCACGGUACCGAGCCGCUUCCAGGAGGAUACAGCUGGAGGUCAAAGAUAUUAUAAACUUCAGAAGGUCCCCAGCGAUUGGCCAGAAGCUCACAUUCUGGUGUCGAUACCCGGAGAACACUCCGAUGAAGAAGUUCAUCUGUCGGGGAGAAGAUCCCUCCGACUGUGAUGUCAUGGUGAGCACCGCUGAGAGACCCAACGGCAGGUUCUCCAUGCAGGACGACCCCAAGAGGAGGAACAUCAGCAUCACAGUGAGGGACGUCCGUGAGGAGGACGCUGGGACGUACUGGUGUGGAGCAGAAAGCACUGGGAACAACCCGUUCUUCCACCGACUGGUGAUGACGGUCGUCAAACCACCAAAACCAGAACUUCCUGCUGCUGGGAGUCGAGGAAGCCUUCAGGUCCUCCUCACGGUGGCCGUCUGUGGGGUCCUUCUGCUGCUGUUUGUGCUCCUGGGGAUCCUCAUCUACAGGCGUAAGACAGGACAUUCAAAAAACAAAAGAAAUGCAGCAGCAGUGCAGCACAUCAAAGAGGAGUGCAGCUAUGAGGAGAUCCAGGAGCAGAACAGAGACCCAGGACAGGAAGUGAACACCAUUUAUGUCACCGCCGAUUUUCCCACAAUCCCCUCUGGCUCACUGCAUUACUCCACCAUUGACUUUGGUGCAGCCGGUGCACCGGUCACCAGACCUCCAUCCUCCACCUGUGAUGUGAAGGAGGCUCCUCUCUACUCAACGGUCUCCAGACCUCCAUCCUCCACCUGUGAUGUGAAGGAGGCUCCUCUCUACUCAACGGUCUCCAGACCUCCAUCCUCCACCUCUGAUGUGAAGGAGGCUCCUCUCUACUCAACGGUCUCCAGACCUCCAUCCUCCACCUCUGAUGUGAAGGAGGCUCCUCUCUACUCAAUGGUCUCCAGACCUCCAUCCUCCACCUCUGAUGUGAAGGAGGCUCCUCUCUACUCAAUGGUCUCCAGACCUCCAUCCUCCACCUGUGAUGUGAAGGAGGCUCCUCUCUACUCAAUGGUCUCCAGACCUCCAUCCUCCACCUGUGAUGUGAAGGAGGCUCCUCUCUACUCAAUGGUCUCCAGACCUCCAUCCUCCACCUGUGAUGUGAAGGAGGCUCCUCUCUACUCAAUGGUCUCCAGACCUCCAUCCUCCACCUGUGAUGUGAAGGAGGCUCCUCUCUACUCAACGGUCUCCAGACCUCCAUCCUCCACCUGUGAUGUGAAGGAGGCUCCUCUCUACUCAACGGUCUCCAGACCUCCAUCCUCCACCUGUGAUGUGAAGGAGGCUCCUCUCUACUCAACGGUCUCCAGACCUCCAUCCUCCACCUGUGAUGUGAAGGAGGCUCCUCUCUACUCAAUGGUCUCCAGACCUCCAUCCUCCACCUCUGGUGUGUAGGAGGCUCCUCUCUACUCAACGGUCUCCAGACCUCCAUCCUCCACCUCUGAUGUGAAGGAGGCUCCUCUCUACUCAACGGUCUCCAGACCUCCAUCCUCCACCUCUGAUGUGAAGGAGGCUCCUCUCUACUCAACGGUCUCCAGACCUCCAUCCUCCACCUCUGAUGUGAAGGAGGCUCCUCUCUACUCAAUGGUCUCCAGACCUCCAUCCUCCACCUCUGAUGUGAAGGAGGUUCCUCUCUCCUCACCAUCCCAUCGGCUCUCCUGAUCGAUCGUGGCUCUGCACGGAAGUCAAAGAGAAGAGAAGUCAUCGGCUCUCUACAUUCAUGGUCCCCAGACGAUGCCUCCUCUAGCGCCACCAUGAGGCCGACAUCCAGGAUGACCUAUAAUAGUGUCUUCAUCUCAUCGUGUUCAAUUCUCUGGGUUCUUAUUGGCCGACGCCUCGCAGGGCUGCAGCGUCUUCACCAUUUGAGUCAUUUCCUCCCUCGGGUUGAAUGAUGCCGCCUGCUCGGGGCAGCAGGAACCCUCAGGCCUGAUGCCGCCUGCUCGGGGCAACAGGAACCCUCAGGCCUGAUGCUACCUGCUCGGGGCAGCAGGAACCCUCAGGCCUGAUGCUACCUGCUCGGGGCAGCAGGAACCCUCAGGCCUGAUGCCGCCUGCUCGGGGCAGCAGGAACCCUCAGGCC